rnacentral:lncRNA from 1 species
UUGAUGUAUUCCUAAAAACUACCAAAAAGAAUUUCAAUAGUAAAUUUAUUGCGGAUCUUAAGAUACCACCAAAAUCCUAAUAGUAGCUUCAAACCCUAGUUUUUAUACACUUGCAUGUAAUUUUCUUCAUAUCUCACAAACUAAGCAUUCAAAUGCCACAAAGUUUAUAUAUAUAGCUUCUUAACACAAUAAUCUACUUUUUUCAAAAGUUUUAAGCUAAAAAUUCAUUUAAUAACUUAAGAUAUGGCUCCAACCAUUACUAUGAAUAAAAUCACUUACUUAUUGCCUUUGAUUUGGAUACACUAACUUCAACUCUCUAUAACUUCUUUAUUUGAAUU